GGGUAGGCUACCACUCACAUCUCAUACAUAUAUAUAUAUAUAUAUAUAUAUAUAUAUAUUGCUGCUAAAUAAUAAUAUAAUUAUAAUUUCAAUUAAAUAAUAAAAAAAAUAAUUUAAAAAAAAUAAAGUCAAUAAAAAUUGUUUUUAAAAAAAUCUUAAUUAUUGUUAAUUUGUUGUUAUUAUAAUAAUACUGACACACAUAUGGCAGUUGCUGUUGGUACUGUUGUUCCAGCUAGCUAGCCAUGCUGUAUUCAUGCUGUAUGUCUCACACCCACCCACCACCACUUUUUUUUUUUUUUACCAGAUUGUGUGAAAAUAGGCACAAAAACCAAAUUAAAAUGAAUUGAUAUUACUAUAACAGAUUGUGCCCCCCCCCCCCCCCCCUUCCUUUCAGGUAUCAUUACUUUUGGUCUAUUAUUUAUUAAGAUUGAUUUUUUUUUUUUUUUUUUUUUUUUUUUAAUAUGAAUUUUCACACACAUAAUAAUAAAAAUGUUAGUUUUUUUGUUAAAUCACAAGGAAGAAAAAUAAAGUAAGCUGGUGUAUCACUCCCAUCCCUGGUUCUCAUGAUGGGAUCAUCACAUAUUUUUUGAAAAAAAUACCCACACCUUUAGGUAACGUUAUCUUUAUUCGCUAGAAAAAAUAUGAGCUUUGGUAUUAAAAAAAAAAAAAAAAAAAAAAAAAAAAAAAUGGUAAUGCCAUACGCCAUAUGCAGAGUAAUAAUUUAUAAUGCUUAAUAGACAGAAGGCCACAAAGGCGUUAGAUUAGUACAUAAUUAUGAUAAUAAUAAUAAUAAUAAUAAUAAUUAUUAUUAUUAUAAGUCAGUGUCGUCUUAAAAGACGAACGAAGGUUAAAAGCGAUAAUAUGAUUGGUCGGUUCCUAAACAGUCAUACCUGGGAUUUGAUUGGCUUAGAGAUAACACCAGGAAAAAACGCGCCAUUUGCAGUUUGCCAAAAUAAAUUUAAUAAUAAAUAAUGACAAAACAUUGUGUAUUUUUCAUUAUGAAUUGGAUUUGAGAUCAUUUUGAUUGAGCAGAAACAAUCACAGUUUAUUACCGAAUACUUGGCUAUGGCGGAAAAUGAAUAACUUCGAUUUAAGUUUCGGAUGUCCUACUAUUUUCGUCACGUUUGGAAGGAAAAAAAGAAAAAUCGUCAGCACAUUCUGGUCAUCAUAUUAUGGAAAUAUUUGUGACUGAAUCCCAUCUGAAUGUUGGAUGACAUAUAUCAAGAUGACACUGAACAGGACAACUGAGGAAAAUGGAUGUGAAAUAAUCCAAUCUAACAGUUGGAAAUAAAUAUAUAUAGUAUUUA